UUUAAGUGCAGCCAUCAGUUUUCGUGUCUAACUUUGAUCAUUCGUCUUCUUUAUUUUUUUUAUAAUUAGUAUUUUUAUUGUUAUGAGAUGAUAAACCAUGAAUAGUACUUUAUGCAUGAGUUUUUUUAAAAGUUUUUUAAAAAAUCAACUAAGACAAACUAUAUUAAAGUUGGGCACGAAAAAUCAUGGUUGCACUUAAA
rfam:Oryza glumipatula chromosome 7, whole genome shotgun sequence.